rnacentral:rRNA from 1 species
AGAUUAAACUGAAGAGUUUGAUCCUGGCUCAGAUUGAACGCUGGCGGCAUGCCUUACACAUGCAAGUCGAACGGCAGCGCGGGGCAACCUGGCGGCGAGUGGCGAACGGGUG